rnacentral:rRNA from 1 species
GACGAACGCUGGCGGCGUGCCUAAUACAUGCAAGUUGAGCGAUGAAGGUUGGUGCUUGCACCAAUUUGAAGAGCAGCGAACGGGUGAGUAACGCGUGGGGAAUCUGCCUUUGAGCGGGGGACAACAUUUGGAAACGAAUGCUAAUACCGCAUAACAACUUUAAACAUAAGUUUUAAGUUUGAAAGAUGCAAUUGCAUCACUCAAAGAUGAUCCCGCGUUGUAUUAGCUAGUUGGUGAGGUAAAGGCUCACCAAGGCGAUGAUACAUAGCCGACCUGAGAGGGGGAUCGGCCACAUUGGGACUGAGACACGGCCCAAACUCCUACGGGAGGCAGCAGUAGGGAAUCUUCGGCAAUGGACGAAAGUCUGACCGAGCAACGCCGCGUGAGUGAAGAAGGUUGUCGGAUCGUAAAACUCUGUUGGUAGAGAAGAACGUUGGUGAGAGUGGAAAGCUCAUCAAGUGACGGUAACUACCCAGAAAGGGACGGCUAACUACGUG